rnacentral:rRNA from 1 species
UCUAUUUGUAGUUUUGAAUAGUCUGGCCUGCUCACUGAUAGUAUUAAAUAGCUGCGGUAUCUUGACCGUACAAAGGUAGCAUAAUCACUAGUUUUUUAAUUGGGAACUUGUAUGAAUGGUUUGACGAAAAAAAGACUGUCUUUAUUAUAGAAGUUGAAUUUAACUUUUAAGUGAAAAGGCUUAAAUUAGUUAGGGGGACGAUAAGACCCUGUAAAACUUUAUUUGUAUUUUAGAUUAUACUUGAUUAUUAUAUAAUAGUUUUAUCUGAAUAUCAUAUUUUGUUGGGGCGACAUAAGUAUAAGUGUAUGUAACUGCUUACAAUAAUUGCCAUUAGUAGAUGAGAGUAGACGAUCCUUAAUAAAGAUUUAAAAAUUAAGUUACUUCAGGGAUAACAGCGUUAUUUCUUUAGAGAGUCCAUAUCGAAAUAGAAGUUUACGACCUCGAUGUUGAAUUAAAAUAUCUUUAUAGUGCAGCGGCUAUAAAAGAAGUCUGUUC